rnacentral:rRNA from 1 species
AGUGAACGCUGGCGGUAGGCCUAACACAUGCCAGUCGAACGGCAGCACAGUAAGAGCUUGCUCUUACGGGUGGCGAGUGGCGGACGGGUGAGGAAUACAUCGGAAUCUACUUUUUCGUGGGGGAUAACGUAGGGAAACUUACGCUAAUACCGCAUACGACCUACGGGUAAGCAGGGGAUCUUCGGACCUUGCGCGAUUGAAUGAGCCGAUGUCGGAUUAGCUAGUUGGCGGGGUAAAGGCCCACCAAGGCGACGAUCCGUAGCUGGUCUGAGAGGAUGAUCAGCCACACUGGAACUGAGACACGGUCCAGACUCCUACGGGAGGCAGCAGUGGGGAAUAUUGGACAAUGGGCGCAAGCCUGAUCCAGCCAUACCGCGUGGGUGAAGAAGGCCUUCGGGUUGUAAAGCCCUUUUGUUGGGAAAGAAAAGCAGCAGGUUAAUACCCCGCUGUUCUGACGGUACCCAAAGAAUAAGCACCGGCUAACUUCGUG